rnacentral:rRNA from 1 species
UAGGGAAUCUUCGGCAAUGGACGGAAGUCUGACCGAGCAACGCCGCGUGAGUGUAGAAGGUCUUCGGAUCGUAAAGCUCUGUUGUUAGAGAAGAACGUUGGUAGGAGUGGAAAAUCUACCAAGUGACGGUAACUAACCAGAAAGGGACGGCUAACUACGUGCCAGCAGCCGCGGUAAUACGUAGGUCCCGAGCGUUGCCCGGAUUUAUUGGGCGUAAAGCGAGCGCAGGCGGUUCUUUAAGUCUGAAGUUAAAGGCAGUGGCUUAACCAUUGUACGCUUUGGAAACUGGAGGACUUGAGUGCAGAAGGGGAGAGUGGAAUUCCAUGUGUGACGGUGAAAUGCGUAGAUAUAUAGAGGAACACAGGUGGCGAAAGCGGCUCUCUGGUCUGUAAAUGACGCUGAGGCUCGAACGCGUGGGGAGCAAACAGC